UACUGCCACAACAUCUACAGUGUCCAUCAUCAACUGAAGUAUUUGGAGAGAGGCUUAGAUGGUUUCUCCUCACCCCGAAGACCAUGUGCAGGAGGUAUUGCAGUCCUGGAUAUUUGCCAGCUAUCGUUGCGGGGGAGAGCUGCACAGGCAAUGGACCAGCAUCUUCAUCCCAACACCUGCCGCCCCUGAAAGCAGCAGAGCCCGGAUCAGGAGUCCUCGUUCAUGUCACGCACUGCGAGCCUAUGGAGACCAGAAGAGGAAGCAGGCUACAGAUCACUGAGGAAGGGUCUUACUCUCCCUCCAAAUUGUUGGUUGUUAAGGUUAAAGCCCACCAGGACAGCGUGUGCAUGAUUUGCCUUGAUCCUUGUACUGAUCCCAUCGAGCACAGGUUGGGUUAGUAAAUGAGAAAUGAGUGGUAUGAUGUGAAUGUUGGUGUUGAUACUGUGAUAUGGGACACCAGGCAUUGCUAUGGCGAUGAAGCAUUCAUUCCAGAGAAAGCUACCAAAGACCAUGAGCUGCUUAAUCGGGUCAAGUGCAGUUCAGAAGAGCAGACAGAGUGAGUUCUGCUCCUAUUCUGACACACAUACACGCAACCGAGUGCAUGGAUCUAAUAGAACCACUC
rnacentral:lncRNA from 1 species